rnacentral:tRNA from 1 species
GGGGCCGUAGCUCAAUUGGUUAGAGUACCGGACUGUCGAUCCGGGGGUUGAGGGUUCAAGUCCCUUCGGCCUCGCCU